UUGCCUACGGGGGGCAGCAGUGAGGAAUAUUGGUCAAUGGGCGGGAGCCUGAACCAGCCAAGUCGCGUGAGGGACGACGGUCCUAUGGGUUGUAAACCUCUUUUGUCAGGGAGCAACGCCGGCUACGUGUAGCCGGACUGAGAGUACCUGAAGAAAAAGCAUCGGCUAACUCCGUGCCAGCAGCCGCGGUAAUACGGAGGAUGCGAGCGUUAUCCGGAUUUAUUGGGUUUAAAGGGUGCGUAGGCGGAAUGCCAAGUCAGCGGUAAAAUCGUGGGGCCCAACCCCAUCCCGCCGUUGAAACUGGC
rnacentral:rRNA from 1 species